rnacentral:rRNA from 1 species
GACGAACGCUGGCGGCGUGCUUAACACAUGCAAGUCGAACGGUAAGGCUCCAUCUUGUUGGGGUGCACGAGUGGCGAACGGGUGAGUAACACGUGGGUAACCUGCCCUGCACUUCGGGAUAAGCCCGGGAAACUGGGUCUAAUACCGGAUAGGACCUCCCCUUGGAGGUGUGGCGGUAAGAUGUUUCGGUGGUGGAUGUGCUCGCUGCUUAUCAGCGUGUUGGUGGGGGAGUGGCCUAUUACGGCGGCGACGGGUAGCCGGCCUGAGAGGGUGUACGGCCACAUUGGGACUGAGACACGGCCAAGACUCCUACGGGAGGCAGCAGUGGGGAAUAUUGCACAAUGGGCGGAAGCCUGAUGCAGCGACGCCGCGUGCGGGAUGACGGCCUUCGGGUUGUAAACUCAUUUCCCCAUGGACGAAGAGUGACUGACGGUAAUAGGCGAAGAAGCACCGGCUAACUACGUG